UACGGAAGGCAGCGGUGGGGAAUAUUGCACAAUGGGCGAAAGCCUGAUGCAGCUAUGCCGCGUGUAUGAAGAAGGCCUUAGGGUUGUAAAGUACUUUCAUCGGGGAGGAAAAAACAAAACUAAUAAUUUUAUUUCUUGACGUUACCCGAAAAAGAAGCACCGGCUAACUCCGUGCCAGCAGCCGCGGUAAUACGGAGGGUGCUAGCGUUAAUCAGAAUUACUGGGCGUAAAGAGCACGUAGGUGGUUUUUUAAGUCAGAUGUGAAAUCCCUGGGCUUAACCUAGGAACUGCAUUUUGAAACUGAAAUACUAGAGUAUCGUAGAGGGAGGUAGAAUUCUAGGUGUAGCGGUGAAAUGCGUAGAUAUCUGGAGGAAUACCUGUGGCGAAAGCGGCCUCCUAAACGAAUACUGACACUGAGGUGCGAAAGCGUGGGGAGCGAAACAGGGAUUUAGAUACC
rnacentral:rRNA from 1 species